AUGGCCAAGGAAGGCAUUGCUGCUGGAGGUGCCAUGGACGUUCAUACUGCUCUGCAAGAUGUGCUGAAGACAGCCCUCGUCCACUGUGGCCUAGCACAUGAAGUCUGCACAGCUGCCACAGCCUUAGGUAAGCGCCAAGCCCAUCUGUGUGUGCGUGCAUCCAGCCGUGAUGUCAAGCUGGUGGAGGCCCUUCGUGUUGAGCACCGAAUCAACCUGAUUAAGGUUGAUGACAACAAGAAACUAAGGGAAUGGGUAGGCCUCUGUAAAACUGACAGAGAGAGAACACCCCUAUAAAGUGGUUGGUUGCGGUUGUGUGGUGGUUAAGGGCUAUGGCAAAGAGUCUCAGGCUAAGGAUGUCACCCAAGAGUACUCCAAACGUAAGAAAUGA
rnacentral:lncRNA from 1 species